GUGCUGCCAGUCAAACAGUUAUAGCCAGACACAGUGGCUCACAACUGUAAUCCCAGAACUUUGGGAAGCCAAGAUGGGUGGAUCACUUGAGGUCAGGAGUUCAACACCAGCCAGACCAACAUGGUGAAACCCCUUAUCUACUCAAAAUACAAAAAUUAGCUGGGCGUGAUGGCGCACACCCAUAAUCCCAGCUACUUGGGAGGCUGAGGCAGGAGAAUAGCUUGAACCCGGGGGGCAGAGGUUGCAGUGAGCCAAGAUCACGCACUGCACUCCAGCCUGGAUGGCAGAGCAAGACUCCGUCUCCAAAAAAAAAAAAAAAAGCCAAAAAACAGUUAACUGUGAAACAGCCUCAGGCAGGGCCUGCAGGAGGUACCAGAAGAAGGCCUUGCUAUCAUGGGAGAUAACAGCUCCAUGAGUGCUGUCACCUCUAAAGCCCUUCAAGUGUGUUGGAAAUGGGUAUUCAAUGUCGCAGAAAUCAACCCUAAGACAAAGGAUCUCUCAGCAAGGCUAAUUUACUUUCUGCAGAAAGGGUGCUACUCGCUAGCAGUUUUGCCAGAGAGCACACACAAAAGAGACAGGGUCAUUUAUAGUCUGACACGUCCACCCUAUGGCUGUGUCCAGUUUCCAUUGGCUGGAAUGGGACCUCACAUUCUGUACUUGUCCUGAUUGGCUAGCAACUUAGAACAUCCCAAAAGAGACAUACAUAGAGGAGAACAAAGGAAAGGAGGAAGUAACUUGUGGAAUGCUGAGAAAGGCAAAAACACCUCCAAAUAAGGAAGAGGAACAGGCUAUGACCUAAUGCUUUCUUGGGCCUGUACAGACUGCGAGGAAAGUCCCUUUGAAGAGGAACCUCUACUUCAUUUUCUACAGAGUGGGACAGAGGUGCUGGUGGAAGACAGUGAUAUUGAUGAUCCUGACCCUGUGUAGGCCUGGCUAAUGUGUGUGUUUGUGUCUUGUUUUUAACAAAAAAGUUUAAAAAGACAAUAAAAAUUUUAAACCAGAAAA
rnacentral:lncRNA from 1 species